AGAGGGAGCCCGAGAAACGGCUACCACUUCCAAGAAGGCAGCAGGCGCGCAACUUACCCUAAUCUCGAUUCGAGGAGGUAGUGACAAGAAAUACCGAUGCGGGACCCUACGGGUGCCGCGUUCGGAAUGAGUACGAUUCGAACCACCUAACGAGGAACGAUCGGAGGGCAAGUCUGGUGCCAGCAGCCGCGGUAAUUCCAGCUCCAAUAGCGUACGUUAAAGUUGCUGCAGUUAAAAAGCUCGUAGUUGAACGUUCGGGUUCCGCGGGACGGGGCCGCCCCGCGAGGGACGGCGCCGCCCCGGGGCUCGUGAUAUCUUAUCUCGCCGCCCGUCGCGAGGCGGACGGAGGGAUGGAUGAGGUUACCUGGAAAAAAUCGGGGCGAUCUAGGCGGGCGAACCUCGCCAACGAACGAUCGGACAUGGGAUAACGGAAGAGGGCGUCGGC
rnacentral:rRNA from 1 species